CUCACGUCCUCUCGCCCGUCAGGAUUUUGUUUCCAUUAACCAUUUCAGUCAUGGGAGAUUUGGUUUAUGUGGCUCUCCAUCGAUGGAAUGCCGAUGAAUGCACAUAUGAACAUACAUACAUAGUUCUGUUUUGCUUUAGAAUUCAGUGUCAGAAAACUCUAUGGAGGUUGCUGAUUUGGAGCUCAGCUAGGGAUGCUCUAAAUUUCAUGGUUGUUGCUUGAUGUGGAAUAUGCAACUGGAACCGGCAACCAGCCCUUCCUCGCCCUCAGCCUC